UUUCCUCAGAGAAGUGAGGCCUUUCAUGGCUGCUUCAAGACUCCCCGCAUCAUUCCCAAGAUUUCCUGAGCUCCAUGAAAUGUUUGGAUGUGAAAGCCUGCAACCAUACAGAGUCAGGUGGAGAGAGGGACUGACCAGAGGGGGACAGAGCUAGGAGCCAGAAGCCUGCAUGAAGUGCUAGCUGAGUGGCAGAGAAACUUGGCAGACAACAUCUACAGAUACAUGGAGAUGGCAAGAAAAGUUGAAAAGUCAACA